GCUUCCUGCCGUCAGGCUUAGGUCUGUCUGUGCUUCCUGCCGUCAGGCUUAGGUCUGUCUGUGCUUCCUGCCGUCAGGCUUAGGCCUCUCUGUACUUCCUGCCGUCAGGCUUAGGUCUGUCUGUGCUUCCUGCCGUCAGGCUUAGGCCAACUGUAUUUCUCUGUAAUCUUUCUGCACAGCGUCUCUCCCCUAAAUACUCCUGAUUUCUUGAGUCAGCCUGUGAGCGGUAAGAUACUCAUAGUCUGGGGAACGUGAGGGUGGGAUUUGACAGCUGAACCCCCCCCGCCCCAUUCUGAAUGUAUCCCUGGUGGAUGGAACUGACACUCUGCUGGUGCUGUGCUGGAUCCAGGCCCGCCAGCCUCACGUCAGCCCAGAUGGGAGCCCGUGUCACAGUCAGGCAGCAUGCGUCUGUGAGCAAGGGUGAUGUGAUUCCUGCCCCCCUUCCCCCACAGGAUCAUCCGGGGGGGGG